AUUGAACGCUGGCGGCAUGCUUUACACAUGCAAGUCGAACGGCAGCGGGUCCUUCGGGAUGCCGGCGAGUGGCGAACGGGUGAGUAAUGCAUCGGAACGUACCCAGUCGUGGGGGAUAACGCAGCGAAAGUUGUGCUAAUACCGCAUACGACCUGAGGGUGAAAGUGGGGGACCGGUAACGGCCUCACGCGAUUGGAGCGGCCGAUGUCUGAUUAGCUAGUUGGUGGGGGAAAGGCCCACCAAGGCGAGGAUCAGUAGCGGGUCUGAGAGGCUGAUCCGCCACACUGGGACUGAGACACGGCCCAGACUCCUACGGGAGGCAGCAGUGGGGAAUUUUGGACAAUGGGGGCAACCCUGAUCCAGCCAUGCCGCGUGCGGGAAGAAGGCCUUCGGGUUGUAAACCGCUUUCGGACGGAAAGAAAUCGCAUGGGUUAAUACCCUGUGUGGAUGACGGUACCGUAAGAAGAAGCACCGGCUAACUACGUGCCAGCCGCCGCGGUAAGAC
rnacentral:rRNA from 1 species